AGAGUUUGAUCCUGGCUCAGGACGAACGCUGGCGGCACGCUUAACACAUGCAAGUCGAACGAGAGAAGAGGAGCUUGCUUUUCUGAUCUAGUGGCGGACGGGUGAGUAACACGUGAGCAAUCUGCCUUUCAGAGGGGGAUACCGAUUGGAAACGAUCGUUAAUACCGCAUAACAUAAUUGAACCGCAUGAUUUGAUUAUCAAAGAUUUAUCGCUGAAAGAUGAGCUCGCGUCUGAUUAGCUAGUUGGUAAGGUAACGGCUUACCAAGGCGACGAUCAGUAGCCGGACUGAGAGGUUGAUCGGCCACAUUGGGACUGAGACACGGCCCAGACUCCUACGGGAGGCAGCAGUGGGGAAUAUUGCACAAUGGAGGAAACUCUGAUGCAGCGAUGCCGCGUGAGGGAAGAAGGUUUUAGGAUUGUAAACCUCUGUCUUCAGGGACGAAAAAAGACGGUACCUGAGGAGGAAGCUCCGGCUAACUACGUGCCAGCAGCCGCGGUAAUACGUAGGGAGCGAGCGUUGUCCGGAAUUACUGGGUGUAAAGGGAGCGUAGGCGGGAUCGCAAGUCAGAUGUGAAAACUAUGGGCUUAACCCAUAAACUGCAUUUGAAACUGUGGUUCUUGAGUGAAGUAGAGGUAAGCGGAAUUCCUAGUGUAGCGGUGAAAUGCGUAGAUAUUAGGAGGAACAUCAGUGGCGAAGGCGGCUUACUGGGCUUUAACUGACGCUGAGGCUCGAAAGCGUGGGGAGCAAACAGGAUUAGAUACCCUGGUAGUCCACGCCGUAAACGAUGAUUACUAGGUGCGGGGGGACUGACCCCUUCCGUGCCGCAGCAAACGCAAUAAGUAAUCCACCUGGGGAGUACGACCGCAAGGUUGAAACUCAAAGGAAUUGACGGGGGCCCGCACAAGCAGUGGAGUAUGUGGAUUAAUUCGAAGCAACGCGAAGAACCUUACCAGGUCUUGACAUCGUAUGCAUAGCUCAGAGAUGAGUGAAAUCUCUUCGGAGACAUAUAGACAGGUGGUGCAUGGUUGUCGUCAGCUCGUGUCGUGAGAUGUUGGGUUAAGUCCCGCAACGAGCGCAACCCUUACUGUUAGUUGCUACGCAAGAGCACUCUAGCAGGACUGCCGUUGACAAAACGGAGGAAGGUGGGGAUGACGUCAAAUCAUCAUGCCCCUUAUGACCUGGGCCUCACACGUACUACAAUGGCUGUCAACAGAGGGAAGCAAAGCCGCGAGGUGGAGCGAACCCCUAAAAGCAGUCUUAGUUCGGAUUGUAGGCUGCAACCCGCCUACAUGAAGUCGGAAUUGCUAGUAAUCGCAGAUCAGCAUGCUGCGGUGAAUACGUUCCCGGGCCUUGUACACACCGCCCGUCACGCCAUGGGAGUCGGUAACACCCGAAGCCUGUAGUCUAACCGCAAGGAGGACGCAGUCGAAGGUGGGAUUGAUGACUGGGGUGAAGUCGUAACAAGGAA
rnacentral:rRNA from 1 species